rnacentral:rRNA from 1 species
GAUGAACGCUAGCUACAGGCUUAACACAUGCAAGUCGAGGGGCAUCAGGAAGAAAGCUUGCUUUCUUUGCUGGCGACCGGCGCACGGGUGAGUAACACGUAUCCAACCUGCCCUUUACUCGGGGAUAGCCUUUCGAAAGAAAGAUUAAUACCCGAUAGUAUAAUCAUUCCGCAUGGUUUGAUUAUUAAAGGAUUCCGGUAAAGGAUGGGGAUGCGUUCCAUUAGGUUGUUGGUGAGGUAACGGCCCACCAAGCCUUCGAUGGAUAGGGGUUCUGAGAGGAAGGUCCCCCACAUUGGAACUGAGACACGGUCCAAACUCCUACGGGAGGCAGCAGUGAGGAAUAUUGGUCAAUGGGCGCGAGCCUGAACCAGCCAAGUAGCGUGAAGGAUGACUGCCCUAUGGGUUGUAAACUUCUUUUAUAUUAGAAUAAAGUGCAGUAUGUAUACUGUUUUGUAUGUAUAAUAUGAAUAAGGAUCGGCUAACUCCGUGCCAGCAGCCGCGGUAAUACGGAGGAUCCGAGCGUUAUCCGGAUUUAUUGGGUUUAAAGGGAGCGUAGGUGGACUGGUAAGUCAGUUGUGAAAGUUUGCGGCUCAACCGUAAAAUUGCAGUUGAUACUGUCAGUCUUGAGUACAGUAGAGGUGGGCGGAAUUCGUGGUGUAGCGGUGAAAUGCUUAGAUAUCACGAAGAACUCCGAUUGCGAAGGCAGCUCACUGGACUGCAACUGACACUGAUGCUCGAAAGUGUGGGUAUCAAACAGGAUUAGAUACCCUGGUAGUCCACACAGUAAACGAUGAAUACUCGCUGUUUGCGAUAUACAGUAAGCGGCCAAGCGAAAGCAUUAAGUAUUCCACCUGGGGAGUACGCCGGCAACGGUGAAACUCAAAGGAAUCGACGGGGGCCCGCACAAGCGGAGGAACAUGUGGAUUUAAUUUGAUGAUACGCGAGGAACCUUACCCGGGCUUAAAUUGCAGUGGAAUGAUGUGGAAUCAUGUCUGUGAGCAAUCACCGCUGUGAAGGUGUUGCAUGGUUGUCGUCAGCUCGUGCCGUGAGGUGUCGGCUUAAGUGCCAUAACGAGCGCAACCCUUAUCUUCAGUUACUAACAGGUCAUGCUGAGGACUAUGGAGAGACUGCCGUCGUAAGAUGUGAGGAAGGUGGGGAUGACGUCAAAUCAGCACGGCCCUUACGUCCGGGGCUACACACGUGUUACAAUGGGGGGUACAGAAGGCAGCUACCUGGUGACAGGAUGCUAAUCCCAAAAGCCUCUCUCAGUUCGGAUCGAAGUAUGCAAACCGAAUUCGUGAAGCUGGAUUCGCUAGUAAUCGCGCAUCAGCCACGGCGCGGUGAAUACGUUCCCGGGCCUUGUACACACCGCCCGUCAAGCCAUGGGAGCCGGGGGUACAUGAAGUACGUAACCGCAAGGAGCGUCCUAGGGUA